AAAGUCGUAACAAGGUUUCCGUAGGUGAACCUGCGGAAGGAUCAUUACAAAUCAUAAUAGGCCGCAAGGCCGAUAUGUUCGGUGCAGCAAUGCAUCGUUUCGCGCUUGUAUGUUUGACAGAGUAAUGUUGGAUACACACAUAAAGAGACAACUUUUAACAAUGGAUCUCUUGGCUCUU
rnacentral:misc_RNA from 1 species